UACAGGGGGGGCAAGCGUUGUUCGGAAUUACUGGGCGUAAAGGGCUUGUAGGCGGCCAACUAAGUCACACGUGAAAUCCCCAGGCUUAACCUGGGAACUGCGUGUGAUACUGGAUGGCUUGAAUUCGGGAGAGGGAUGCAGAAUUCCAGGUGUAGCGGUGAAAUGCGUAGAUAUCUGGAGGAAUACCGGUGGCGAAGGCGGCAUCCUGGACCGACAUUGACGCUGAGGAGCGAAAGCUAGGGGAGCAAACGGG
rnacentral:rRNA from 1 species